rnacentral:rRNA from 1 species
AAUGUCAGGGCUUGAGGCUAUUAACCUCAAACUUUUCUUCCCAAUUGAAAGUGCUUUACAACCCUAAGGCCUUCUUCACACACGCGGCAUGGCUGCGUCAGGCUUUCGCCCAUUGCGCAAUAUUCCC